CCUACGGGGGGCUGCAGUGGGGAAUAUUGCACAAUGGGCGCAAGCCUGAUGCAGCCAUGCCGCGUGUGUGAAGAAGGCCUUCGGGCUGUAAAGCACUUUCAGCGGGGAGGAAGGCGGUGAGGUUAAUAACCUCAUCGAUUGACGUUACCCGCAGAAGAAGCACCGGCUAACUCCGUGCCAGCAGCCGUGGUAAUACGGAGGGUGCAAGCGUUAAUCGGAAUUACUGGGCGUAAAGCGCACGCAGGCGGUCUGUCAAGUCGGAUGUGAAAUCCCCGGGCUCAACCUGGGAACUGCAUUCGAAACUGGCAGGCUAGAGUCUUGUAGAGGGGGGUAGAAUUCCAGGUGUAGCGGUGAAAUGCGUAGAGAUCUGGAGGAAUACCGGUGGCGAAGGCGGCCCCCUGGACAAAGACUGACGCUCAGGUGCGAAAGCGUGGGGAGCAAACAGGAUUAGAUACCCGGGUAGUC
rnacentral:rRNA from 1 species